CUACGGGGCGCAGCAGUGAGGAAUAUUGGACAAUGGAGGCAACUCUGAUCCAGCCAUGCCGCGUGCAGGAAGACGGCCCUAUGGGUUGUAAACUGCUUUUAUACGGGAAGAAACCCAACUACGUGUAGUUGGCUGACGGUACCGUAAGAAUAAGUACCGGCUAACUCCGUGCCAGCAGCCGCGGUAAUACGGAGGGUGCAAGCGUUAUCCGGAAUCAUUGGGUUUAAAGGGUCCGUAGGCGGACUGAUAAGUCAGGGGUGAAAUCCAACAGCUUAACUGUUGAACUGCCUUUGAUACUGUUAGUCUUGAAUUAUAUGGAAGUAGAUAGAAUGUGUAGUGUAGCGGUGAAAUGCUUAGAGAUUACACAGAAUACCGAUUGCGAAGGCAGUCUACUACGUAUAUAUUGACGCUAAUGGACGAAAGCGUGGGGAGCAAACAGGAUUAGAUACCCCCGUAGUC
rnacentral:rRNA from 1 species